UACGUAGGUGGCAAGCGUUGUCCGGAAUUAUUGGGCGUAAAGCGCGCGCAGGCGGCCUCCUAAGUCCGAUGUGAAAGCCCACGGCUCAACCGUGGAGGGUCAUUGGAAACUGGGGGACUUGAGUGCAGAAGAGGAGAGCGGAAUUCCACGUGUAGCGGUGAAAUGCGUAGAGAUGUGGAGGAACACCAGUGGCGAAGGCGGCUCUCUGGUCUGUAACUGACGCUGAGGCGCGAAAGCGUGGGGAGCGAACAGG
rnacentral:rRNA from 1 species